GAGUUUGAUCUUGGCUCAGAGCGAACGCUGGCGGCAUGCUUAACACAUGCAAGUCGCACGGUCAGCAAUGGCAGUGGCGGACGGGGUGAGUAACACGUAGGAAUCUAUCUCUGGGUGGGGGACAACAGUGGGAAACUACUGCUAAUACCGCAUGAUACCUGAGGGUCAAAGGCGUAAGUCGCCUGGAGAGGAGCCUGCGUCUGAUUAGCUUGUUGGUGGGGUGAAGGCCUACCAAGGCUACGAUCAGUAGCUGGUCUGAGAGGAUGAUCAGCCACAUUGGGACUGAGACACGGCCCAAACUCCUACGGGAGGCAGCAGUGGGGAAUAUUGGACAAUGGGCGAAAGCCUGAUCCAGCAAUGCCGCGUGUGUGAAGAAGGUCUUCGGAUUGUAAAGCACUUUUGGCAGGGACGAUGAUGACGGUACCUGCAGAAUAAG
rnacentral:rRNA from 1 species